rfam:Myotis davidii contig318371, whole genome shotgun sequence.
UGUGGUUCUCAGGUGACGCACCCCAGAAUCGGGCUCCCUACUCUCUGGUUCCAGGUGUAUCACUUGAGAACCACA